rnacentral:rRNA from 1 species
GUGAGGAAUUUUCCGCAAUGGGCGAAAGCCUGACGGAGCAAUGCCGCGUGAAGGAUGAAGGCCUAUGGGUUGUAAACUUCUUUUCUUAGAGAAGAAUAUUGACGGUAUCUGAGGAAUAAGCAUCGGAUAACUCUGUGCCAGCAGCCGCGGUAAGACAGAGGAUGCAAGCGUUAUCCGGAAUGAUUGGGCGUAAAGCGUCUGUAGGUGGCUUCAAAAGUCUCCUGUCAAAGAUCAGGGCUUAACCCUGGGCCGGCAGGAGAAACUCUGAGGCUAGAGUUUGGUAGGGGCAGAGGGAAUUCCCGGUGGAGCGGUGAAAUGCGUAGAGAUCGGGAGGAACACCAAAGGCGAAAGCACUCUGCUGGGCCACAACUGACACUAAGAGACGAAAGCGAGGGGAGCAAAAGGGAUUAGAUACCCUUGUAGUCC